rnacentral:rRNA from 1 species
GACGAGGGAUCCUAGCGUUGUCCGGAUUUAUUGGGCGUAAAGAGCGUGUAGGCGGCCAGGUAGGUCAGCUGUGAAAACUCGAGGCUCAACCUCGAGACGUCGGCGGAAACCAUCUGGCUAGAGUCCGGAAGAGGAGAGUGGAAUUCCUGGUGUAGCGGUGAAAUGCGCAGAUAUCAGGAAGAACACCCGUGGCGAAGGCGGCUCUCUGGGACGGUACUGACGCUGAGACGCGAAAGCGUGGGGAGCGAACAGG